rnacentral:tRNA from 1 species
GAUAGUGAAGUAAAAAAUUACAGUUAAUUUCGACUUAACCUUAGGAUAUUAAUUCCCUUAUCU